GUUAAAUUUUACCGGGAAUCUGCCGACGGGACUAAAGAGGCUAUGGACGCCGUGAGUGAUACGUUGGCUGGUUUGGAAACAUGUUUGCUUCCAUGUAUUGUACGGAUUGUGAAGAUUGAGAAUUCAAGCUGUUAAUGAUGAGGUAGACUGUGAAGACUUGCAAAAGAUAGCCGCUUGAAAUCUUUGUUCACUGUUACACGAUGAACCACACUCUUG